GAAGAAUCUUAUCAAACAGCGAUGAGUAUCAGGGUUGUUCUCAUCCAAUUUAAGCAUCUGCUUCACAGCCUGGAAUGCAAGUAAAAUCUUUUGUUUUCUCAUAUUGAGCUCGAAAGACAGUAAAUGUGUUUCAAGGGAAUUAGCCGAAUUGUUCUGGAGCAGCUUCAGAUAUUUAGUAGCUUCCAGCAGUGGAUCUUCAACCUGCAACAACUUUUCCCCAUGAGGAUCUAAAUCAACUGCUUUG
rnacentral:misc_RNA from 1 species